ensembl:misc_RNA Metazoa_SRP Metazoan signal recognition particle RNA
GCUGGGCAUGGUGGCGUGUGCCUGUAGUCCCAGCUACUUGGGAGGCUGAGGUGGGAGGAUCGCUUGAGCCCAGGAGUUCUGGUCUGUAGUGCGCUAUGCCGACUGGGUGUCUGUACAAAGUUUGGCAUCAAUGUGGUGACCUCCCGGGAGUGGGGGACCUCCAGGUUGCCUAAGGACGGGUGAACCAGUCCAGGUUGGAAACAGAGCAGGUCAAAACUCCGGUGCUGAUCAAUAGUGGGAUCACGCCUGUAAAAAGCCACUGCACUCAAGUCUGGGCAACAUAGCGAGCCUCCUCUU